GAGUACAAAUAUAAUUGUGUGAUGUAAUAACUGUAUUAUUAUAAAAACUUUGAGUGUAAUUUAGGCGUUUAUAUACAAUAAUACAAUGUAGUACCAGCUGACUCAUGAAUAUUUAACAGCAUUAGUUUAGAGAUUUUAUUUUUCCUUGAAAAUUUGCCAUGUAUUGUACCUGAUAUGUUUCCAAAAUAAUCGAUAUUGAAUCAAAUACAAAAUCGAAUCAUAUCGUAAAAUUGUACUUGUGUAAAAAAGAAAACGGCAAGUAACACAUUGAAAAAACAUUAAAUUUUGAAGUAGAAAGACUGAAAUAAUAUUUUCUUGUAAAAUGUACUCCAAUAAUCCAAUAACAGCAUAACUUCCAAGUGUGUAUUAUCUUGCAGACAAUGAAAGCAGACACUCCACAAAGGACAAGAAAAAGAAGAAAAAGAAAAUCAAAGAGGAGGAGGAGAAAAGCAGCAAGAAACGACACAAACACAAGAAAAAGGAAAAGGAUGAGGCGGGAACAGGAGAUGAGAAAGAAAAGAAGAAGAAGAAAUCUUCAAGGACCAAGAAAGCGGGAGCUGUGGACGAUCUUGAGGCCUUCCUGGCAGGUGGAGACGGACCAGGAAACAGUGAGGGCGGAGACUAUGAAGAACUCUAACCAAUCAGGGUUUGACAUCCACACCGUGUGACAUCGCCAGGUGUUCAUGAAAAACAGCAGAUGGUUUGAACCACAAAUCUGUUUCUUCAAUAUGUGAACUGGAUGGAUUCAGAGCACAAGAGCCAGUGUGAUCAAUGAGAGACGUCACUGAUCUUCCCCGGCCCUUGAUGCCUAUCGGGAAUCAUUCAACAAUGACAUCUUCAUUUUCUAGUGUGCUUUGUUCAAAUGUCAAAAUUCUGAAGCAAUCUAAUCUUGCAACGAGAGACAGAGGCCAUGUUUACAUGCAUAAGCAUAUUUCUGUUUUAAUCUGAAUAUGAUUAUUAUGAGCGCAAUUUCAAUACGUUAACCUGAUUGCAAUAAUCCAGUAAAGGCCAAACUCCAGUAUAUUGUAAUGAACAUGCAAAGGAAAAAUCUGAAUUGUUUCUGAAUGUUUUUUUUGUGUGUGUGUUUUCCUCCGGAAUAAAGGCUAAAUUUGUAUGUUGUGCA
ensembl:lncRNA